rnacentral:rRNA from 1 species
CGAACGCUGGCGGCAGGCCUAACACAUGCAAGUCGAGCGCGCCCUUCGGGGUGAGCGGCGGACGGGUUAGUAACGCGUGGGAACGUGCCCUUCUCUAAGGAAUAGCCUCUGGAAACGGAGAGUAAUACCUUAUACGCCCUUCGGGGGAAAGAUUUAUCGGAGAGGGAUCGGCCCGCGUUAGAUUAGGUAGUUGGUGGGGUAACGGCCCACCAAGCCUACGAUCUAUAGCUGGUUUUAGAGGAUGAUCAGCAACACUGGGACUGAGACACGGCCCAGACUCCUACGGGAGGCAGCAGUGGGGAAUAUUGGACAAUGGGCGCAAGCCUGAUCCAGCAAUGCCGCGUGUGUGAAGAANCCUGCGGGUUGUAAAGCACUUUCAGUAGAGAAGAAAAGCCUAGGGUUAAUACCCCUGAGUCUUGACGUAACCUACAGAAGAAGCACCGGCUAACUCCGUGCCAGCAGCCGCGGUAAU